rnacentral:rRNA from 1 species
GGGGAAUAUUGCACAAUGGGCGAAAGCCUGAUGCAGCAACGCCGCGUGAGGGACGACGGCCUUCGGGUUGUAAACCUCUUUUAGCAAGGAAGAAGCGAAAGUGACGGUACUUGCAGAAAAAGCGCCGGCUAACUACGUGCCAGCAGCCGCGGUAAUACGUAGGGCGCAAGCGUUAUCCGGAAUUAUUGGGCGUAAAGAGCUCGUAGGCGGUUUGUCACGUCUGCUGUGAAAACCCGAGGCUCAACCUCGGGCCUGCAGUGGGUACGGGCAGACUAGAGUGCGGUAGGGGAGAUUGGAAUUCCUGGUGUAGCGGUGGAAUGCGCAGAUAUCAGGAGGAACACCGAUGGCGAAGGCAGAUCUCUGGGCCGUAACUGACGCUGAGGAGCGAAAGGGUGGGGAGCAAAC